rnacentral:rRNA from 1 species
GAUGAACGCUGGCGGCGUGCCUAAUACAUGCAAGUCGAGCGAACGGACGAGAAGCUUGCUUCUCUGAUGUUAGCGGCGGACGGGUGAGUAACACGUGGAUAACCUACCUAUAAGACUGGGAUAACUUCGGGAAACCGUAGCUAAUACCGGAUAAUAUUUUGAACCGCAUGGUUCAAAAGUGAAAGACGGUCUUGCUGUCACUUAUAGAUGGAUCCGCGCUGCAUUAGCUAGUUGGUAAGGUAACGGCUUACCAAGGCAACGAUGCAUAGCCGACCUGAGAUGGUGAUCGGCCACACUGGAACUGAGACACGGUCCAGACUCCUACGGGAGGCAGCAGUAGGGAAUCUUCCGCAAUGGGCGAAAGCCUGACGGAGCAACGCCGCGUGAGUGAUGAAGGUCUUCGGAUCGUAAAACUCUGUUAUUAGGGAAGAACAUAUGUGUAAGUAACUGUGCACAUCUUGACGGUACCUAAUCAGAAAGCCACGGCUAACUACGUG